AGCAGUCGCCGCGGGAAUACGGAGGGUGCGAGCGUUGUCCGGAUUUAUUGGGUUUAAAGGGUGCGUAGGUGGCUUUUUAAGUCAGUGGUGAGAUACAGCCGCUCAACGGUUGAGGUGCCAUUGAUACUGAAGAGCUUGAAACAAGUGGAGGCUGCCGGAAUGGAUGGUGUAGCGGUGAAAUGCAUAGAUAUCAUCCAGAACACCGAUUGCGAAGGCAGGUGGCUACGUUUGAUUUGACACUGAGGCACGAAAGCAUGGGGAGCGAACAGGAUUAGAUACCCCCGUAGUCCCUGUCUCUUAUAC
rnacentral:rRNA from 1 species